ACGCUCGACACCUACGGGAGGUAGCAGUGGGGAAUAUUGCACAAUGGAGGAAACUCUGAUGCAGCGACGCCGCGUGAGGGAAGAAGGUCUUCGGAUUGUAAACCUCUGUUGUCAGGGACGAUGAUGACGGUACCUGACGAGGAAGCCACGGCUAACUACGUGCCAGNCGCCGUAGUAUNGNGGCGGNGNGAGAG
rnacentral:rRNA from 1 species